rnacentral:other from 1 species
GAAGCCCUGUGCUGCGCGCGAUUCGUUCCGUUAACGUGAGCCAACACCAUGUUGACGGGAAGCUGACUUCUGCCGGGAGAGGCCUGCCCGGGAAGGUGCCGGGACGCAAGUCCCCUGCGGAGGAGUUACCCACCUGUUGAGGUUGGGUUCAGCGUCGACGGAACUAACGGCAGCGUCGGGGCUUUU